rnacentral:rRNA from 1 species
UACAGAGGGUGCAAGCGUUGCUCGGAUUUAUUGGGCGUAAAGCGCGCGCAGACGGUUUGGAAGGUCGGAUGUGAAAGCCCUGGGCUCAACCCAGGAACUGCAUUCGAAACCACCAUCCUAGAGUUCGGGAGAGGGAGGCGGAAUUCCUGGUGUAGAGGUGAAAUUCGUAGAUAUCAGGAGGAACACCAGCGGCGAAGGCGGCUUCCUGGCCCGAUACUGACGUUCAGGCGCGAAAGCGUGGGUAGCAAACAGG